GUGGGGAAUAUUGGACAAUGGGCGAAAGCCUGAUCCAGCCAUGCCGCGUGUGUGAAGAAGGUCUUCGGAUUGUAAAGCACUUUAAGUUGGGAGGAAGGGCAGUAAGUUAAUACCUUGCUGUUUUGACGUUACCGACAGAAUAAGCACCGGCUAACUUCGUGCCAGCAGCCGCGGUAAUGCGAAGGGUGCAAGCGUUAAUCGGAAUUACUGGGCGUAAAGCGCGCGUAGGUGGUUUUGUAAGUUGGAGGUGAAAUCCCCGGGCUCAACCUGGGAACUGCCUCCAAAACUGCAUGACUAGAGUACGGUAGAGGGUAGUGGAAUUUCCUGUGUAGCGGUGAAAUGCGUAGAUAUAGGAAGGAACACCAGUGGCGAAGGCGACUACCUGGACUGAUACUGACACUGAGGUGCGAAAGCGUGGGGAGCAAACAGGAUUAGAUACCCUAGUAGUCC
rnacentral:rRNA from 1 species